CCCAAUGGUAGCUGUGCGUGGGAGACCUUCGGGUCUGCCGGCAUUGUCCGUCUUGUUCCGGUUCGCCAACCCGCGUACGGCUGCCACCUUU
rnacentral:antisense_RNA from 1 species